rnacentral:rRNA from 1 species
AUUGAACGCUGGCGGAAUGCUUUACACAUGCAAGUCGAACGGCAGCACGGGUGCUUGCACCUGGUGGCGAGUGGCGAACGGGUGAGUAAUACAUCGGAACGUACCCUGACGUGGGGGAUAACACAGCGAACGUUGUGCUAAUACCGCAUACGUCCUGAGGGAGAACGCGGGGGAUCGCAAGACCUCGCGCGUUAGGAGCGGCCGAUGGCGGAUUAGCUAGUUGGUGGGGUAAAGGCUCACCAGGGCGACGAGCCGUAGCUGGUCUGAGAGGACGACCAGCCACACUGGAACUGAGACACGGUCCAGACUCCUACGGGAGGCAGCAGUGGGGAAUUUUGGACAAUGUGCGAAAGCCUGAUCCAGCCAUUCCGCGUGAGUGAAGAAGGCCUUCGGGGUGUAAAGCUCUUUCGGCAGGAACGAAACGGUGUGGGUCAAUACCCUGCAUCAAUGACGGUACCUGAAGAAGAAGCACCGGCUAACUACGUGCCAGCCGCCGCGGUAA